AUUGAACGCUGGCGGCAUGCUUUACACAUGCAAGUCGAACGGUAACAGGCCGCAAGGUGCUGACGAGUGGCGAACGGGUGAGUAAUGCAUCGGAACGUGCCCAGUCGUGGGGGAUAACGCAGCGAAAGCUGCGCUAAUACCGCAUACGAUCUAUGGAUGAAAGCGGGGGACCGUAAGGCCUCGCGCGAUUUGAGCGUCCGAUGUCAGAUUAGGUAGUUGGUGGGGUAAAGGCUCACCAAGCCAACGAUCUGUAGCUGGUCUGAGAGGACGACCAGCCACACUGGGACUGAGACACGGCCCAGACUCCUACGGGAGGCAGCAGUGGGGAAUUUUGGGCAAUGGGCGCAAGCCUGAUCCAGCAAUGCCGCGUGCAGGAAGAAGGCCUUCGGGUUGUAAACUGCUUUUGUACGGAACGAAACGGCUCUGGUUAAUACCUGGGGCUAAUGACGGUACCGUAAGAAUAAGCACCGGCUAACUACGUGCCAGCCGCCGCCGUAACAC
rnacentral:rRNA from 1 species